UUAUGACAAUCUCAUGACAAAUAAUACUUACAGAAACAUUUUCUGCUGAGUUGACCGGCAUCUCAUCCACACUGUGAUUGCCAUUUGUAAUGUCACAGAUGCAGUAGUUGCUAACAGAAGGAGGUCUGAAUGUGUGGCCACCAUCACAAUGAAUUUCUGGACUGAUUCCACAGCCGAAUGUGAAUGAGGCAAGAGAAUGAUAGUGUGUGAGUAAAACUACUGCAUGUACCAAUUCCGCAAGGGACCAGCUGUGCUCUUCAGCUUUUAAAAGUCCCUUAGGGGGAAAAAAAAAAAGAAUAUAUUUUUGUACUGGGGUGUGGUAAAAGUAUACAGUUCAUUUUAGUAUUUAAUUUAUUGAAAACAUGAGUCAUCAUACAAAGCCUAGCAUAAAAUUAUCAUUUGAAACAUGUAGAACCCAGAAUUUGCUAAUUUUUAUGAAUAUGCAUUCACAAAUAGAACUUAACAUAAUCUGUUAAGACAUUCACUAUUAUUUUGAUUUUCUGAAAUAUUGACUUAAAAUGUAAGAGAAUGCAUUUUGCUUAAAAGUGGCUGCUGUAUUUCAGAUGCUGGAUUAUGAAUGAAUUACUGUGUUGUUAGUUCAAAAUCUCAAAGCAAAUGUAAUAAAUUUGUGUUUAAAAGUAGAA
rnacentral:lncRNA from 1 species